CUAGAGAGGAAAAUCAUUGAUUAAUUUAGAUUUGGAAGAAAUCUUAGAGAUUUAAACUAAAGAUUUAUAUUUAAUGGCUCCCUAAAAGGGAAAAUGCUCUGAGCUUCAAUAAUAGCUCUUCCUUUCUUAAUAUACAAUUCAAUAAUACAUAUUAAUGUUCUCAUUCAAGUUCCAGAAAGGUUUUAUUAAGGAAAAUUACCCACAGAAUUAUGGUUCCUUCAUGCAAUCUCAUAUCAGGUUUUUCCUAUGCUACACACAAAUACAAAACUGAGAUUAUUGAUAGGGCCAGGAUAUUCUCAGUCCAUCUACUUGUGAGAAAUUAACUUCUUUAUCCAAUGCUGAUUCAUCCCAAGCAGCUUGGAAUUCUCAAGUGAAUAAUCUCACAGUUACUUUACAAAUAUAUCUUCCUAGCUGCAACUGCCUCAU
rnacentral:lncRNA from 1 species